AGAACUGAUAACUCGAAAGGUAGAAUGAGAGAGUAACGCCUUGAAAUGCCUUCCAUAAACUACGAAUAGCGUAUCUGUGAGCAAUAACAGAUAGGUUAUAAGCUCGUUAAAGGCGGCUGAGAUUACACCCUAAUAUAUUAAAAUAUAAUAUAAGGAAAAGCGAACCAGAGGUGGUUGAGUGUAAGAUAGGUCGGUGGUCUAAAA
rnacentral:ncRNA from 1 species